AUUGAACGCUGGCGGCAUGCUUUACACAUGCAAGUCGAACGGCAGCACGGGCUUCGGCCUGGUGGCGAGUGGCGAACGGGUGAGUAAUAUAUCGGAACGUACCCAAGAGUGGGGGAUAACGUAGCGAAAGUUACGCUAAUACCGCAUACGAUCCAAGGAUGAAAGUGGGGGACCGCAAGGCCUCAUGCUCCUGGAGCGGCCGAUAUCUGAUUAGCUAGUUGGUAGGGUAAAGGCCUACCAAGGCAUCGAUCAGUAGCUGGUCUGAGAGGACGACCAGCCACACUGGAACUGAGACACGGUCCAGACUCCUACGGGAGGCAGCAGUGGGGAAUUUUGGACAAUGGGGGCAACCCUGAUCCAGCAAUGCCGCGUGAGUGAAGAAGGCCUUCGGGUUGUAAAGCUCUUUUGUCAGGGAAGAAACGGUUGUGGCUAAUAUCCAUGACUAAUGACGGUACCUGAAGAAUAAGCACCGGCUAACUACGUGCCAGCCGCCGCAGUAAGAC
rnacentral:rRNA from 1 species